CCUACGGGAGGCAGCAGUGAGGAAUAUUGGUCAAUGGCCGGAAGGCUGAACCAGCCAUGCCGCUUGAAGUUCCCUUCCCUCUUUUCUUUCCCCUUCUUUUUUUCUUUCUCCCUCCUUUUCCCGUGUUUCCAGACGAGAGUACCGUACGAAUAAGCAUCGGCUAACUCCGUGCCAGCACCCUCGGUAAUACGGUUGUUGCAACCGUUAUCCGGAUUUAUUGGGUUUAAAGGGUGCGUAGGCUGUGAGGUAAGUCAGCGGUGAAAUGCCCCCGGUCAACGGGGUGAAGUGCCAGUGAUACUGCCUUGCUGGAGUGCGGGUGACGUGGGAGGAAUGUGUGGGGUAGAGGUGAAAUGCAUAGAUAUAACGAAGAACACCGAUUGCGAAGGCAUCUCACGAAUCCGCGAUUGACGCUGAUGCACGAAAGAGUGGGUAUCAAACAGGAGGAGAGAAAAGGGGAGGC
rnacentral:rRNA from 1 species